AGAGUUUGAUCCUGACUCAGGACGAACGCUGGCGGCGUGCCUAACACAUGCAAGUCGAGCGGGGAUUAUCGGAUGAAGUUUUCGGAUGGAUUCCGGUAAUUCUAGCGGCGGACGGGUGAGUAACGCGUGAGCAACCUGCCUUUCACGAGGGGGAUAACGCAUCGAAAGGUGCACUAAUACCGCAUGAGACCACGCUCCCGACAUGAGAGAGGGGUCAAAGGAGCAAUCCGGUGAGAGAUGGGCUCG
rnacentral:rRNA from 1 species